GCACCGUCCCCCACCCAUCUCAGCUGCCAAUUCUCCUAUCCGACAGCUUGCAGGACGGAUACUAAUAACCGUCGAUAGCACGCAGGUUCUUGCAUCCGACGGCUCAGAAAGCCAGCCUCUCACGGGCUGCUCUACGCCUCCCGGGCCACCUGGCUACCCGGCCAUCAUAAAGAGGCGGCCUCCCGCCCCUCCUCUCCUCGCGCUGCUUGCUUGUCCGUUGUCGCAGAGAGAGAAAGAGUGGGAUGGCAAUGGAGAGGUCGUUGUCGUGCGCGGAGAGGGGCAGCCAGUACGGCGCCGGGGCGGGGGCGGGGGCGAUGAACCUCCGGAGCUACAGCGCCUCCUACGAGCGACCGACGACAGCGGCGCCGUCCACGGUGCAGCGCGCCAGGAGCGUGAGCUCGUGGAGCACGCCGCCGGCGCCGCCGCCCGUGCAGCGGGCCGGGAGCACCAAGAGCGGCCCCACCGCCGCCGCCGGUGGCCGGGCCGCCCCGGGGCUGAACCUGCGCUCCUACAGCGCCUCCUACGCGGCCUCCUACGGGCCCACCCUGGCCGAUACCGGCGGGCAGCUGAAGCGCUCCGGCAGCGUCACCAACUGGACCUCCGCCAACCGCCGCUCCGUCAACCUGAGGGGGUACGCCCCGUCCUUCGCCGCGAUGGACGACACCGCCGGCGCGGUCCCGGCGCCCAGGAGGAAGCUGCGGGCGGGGGCGGACGACGCCGAGGUGCAGCGGCGGCGGCUGGUCGUGUACAAGACGUACGGCGUGGAAGGGAAGGUCCGGGAGUCGGUGCGCCGCGGCGUCAGCUGGAUCAAGGGCAAGUGCUCCGGCGCGGCCUACGGCUGGUGGUGAUCGAUCGCCAGCUCCAUCGCCGUGCCCACCGGCCUAUCGGAGUGGUACUACUACGGUACGGUCUACCAUAUGAGCUGGUGCACUGCAUGCCCACCGCCGCACCAGUACCUCCUGUUACUUGUUCUUGGAGUUAGGAGUUUUUUUAAUCUUUAGGAGAUGGAUUUGGUUGUAUGUAGUAGCAUACUAGCAUGAGCUGUGGAGCUUCUUCUCUUGGUGAGUGAUCUCGUGUCUUGUGAGGGAAGGAGGAAGUUCAUGCUGUGGGUGUCCUACUCCUCUUUACAGAACAGAUAUCUGGACUCUGGUCUAUGUAAAUAUAGGUGCUGCGUAUGUAUAUAUGUGUGUAUAGAAUAAGAUUUCUGUAAAUUAUUACUACUACU
rnacentral:misc_RNA from 1 species